rnacentral:rRNA from 1 species
AACGAACGCUGGCGGCAGGCUUAACACAUGCAAGUCGAACGCAUCCUUCGGGGUGAGUGGCAGACGGGUGAGUAACGCGUGGGAACGUGCCCUUCAGUUCGGGAUAACCCAGGGAAACUUGGGCUAAUACCGGAUACGUGCGAGAGCAGAAAGAUUUAUCGCUGAAGGAUCGGCCCGCGUCUGAUUAGCUAGUUGGUGGGGUAAUGGCCCACCAAGGCGACGAUCAGUAGCUGGUCUGAGAGGAUGAUCAGCCACAUUGGGACUGAGACACGGCCCAAACUCCUACGGGAGGCAGCAGUGGGGAAUAUUGGACAAUGGGCGCAAGCCUGAUCCAGCCAUGCCGCGUGAGUGAUGAAGGCCUUAGGGUUGUAAAGCUCUUUCGCCAGGGACGAAGCGCAAGUGACGGUACCUGCAGAAGAAGGACCGGCCAACUACGUGCCAGCCGCCGCAGUAAAAC